rnacentral:tRNA from 1 species
GCCUGAGUGGCUCAGUAGGUUAAGUGUCUGACUUCAGCUCAGGUCACGAUCUCGCGGUCCGUGAGUUCGAGCCCCGCGUCGGGCU